CACGGGGGGAGCAAGCGUUGUUCGGAAUCACUGGGCGUAAAGGGCGUCUAGGCGGUCAGGUUAGUGGGACGUGAAAUACCUCGGCUCACCCGAGGGGCUGCGUCCCAAACUGCUUGGCUUGAGUAUGGGAGAGGAUGUGGGAAUUCCUGGUGUAGCGGUGAAAUGCGUAGAUAUCAGGAGGAACACCGGUGGCGAAGGCGCACAUCUGGCCCAAUACUGACGCUGAAGCGCGAAAGCUAGGGGAGCAAACGGG
rnacentral:rRNA from 1 species